rnacentral:tRNA from 1 species
GGCCCUGUGGCGGAAUCGGUAGACGCGCCUGAUUCAAAAUCAGGUAUCCUCGGAUGUGGGAGUUCAAGUCUCCCCGGGGCCACCA